rnacentral:sRNA from 1 species
AACUGAUGAUGAUGAUGAUGAUGACGACGAUGAUGA